rnacentral:rRNA from 1 species
AUUGAACGCUAGCGGGAUGCUUUACACAUGCAAGUCGAACGAGUGGCGGACGGGUGAGUAAUAUAUCGGAACGUGCCCAGUAGAGGGGGAUAACUAAUGGAAAGAGUGGCUAAUACCGCAUACUAUUGGCGCGGCCGAUAUCGGAUUAGCGAGUUGGUGGGGUAAAGGCUCACCAAGGCAACGAUCCGUAGCUGGUUUGAGAGGACGACCAGACACACUGGGACUGAGACACGGCCCAGACUCCUACGGGAGGCAGCAGUGGGGAAUUUUGGACAAUGGGGGAAACCCUGAUCCAGCCAUCCCGCGUGUAUGAGAAGGCCUUCGGAUUGUAAAGUACUUUUGGCAGGGAAGCGGUAUCUGCAGAAUAAGCACCGGCUAACUACGUGCCAGCAGCCGCGGUAAUUC